UACGUAGGGGGCAAGCGUUGUCCGGAAUCAUUGGGCGUAAAGAGCGCGUAGGCGGCCCAGUAAGUCCGCUCUGGAAGUCAGGGGCUCAACCCCUGAAUGCGGGUGGAUACUGCUGGGCUAGAGUCCGGAAGAGGCGAGUGGAAUUCCUGGUGUAGCGGUGAAAUGCGCAGAUAUCAGGAGGAACACCUAUGGCGAAGGCAGCUCGCUGGGACGGUACUGACGCUGAGGCGCGAAAGCGUGGGGAGCGAACAGG
rnacentral:rRNA from 1 species